rnacentral:lncRNA from 1 species
CGGCGUCCCUGAAAUCUCCCGCACCCAGGCUCUUAAAUCCAUUUGGAGCUAUAUCAAGGAGCACAAUCUCCAGGUCUGUAAAUCUCCUUCUCUGCCUCUCUGUAAAUGUCUUAAUUCCUUACUGUUGUCCGUUCUCUUUCCUAUAGCUUGCUUUAUUUUGGGCUAAAUUUUUCACUCAUAGGGUUUCUGUACAGUAGAGAUGCUAUAGUGCGUUGCUUGUGUUUGCUGAAAUUGUGCAAGUGCCAAGUUAAUAGUAAUACGAGUACGAAUUUCGCUAGGAGGAUGGCUCUGCAAUUCCUACACCUGUGAAUUUGAAUUUCUCGUAUUCUGGAUAAGGUUUUGCUUUUUUUGCAGUGAGCAGUUAGGAUUGCGUAAGGUUUUACUUUGCUGGUUAUAUACUAAUAUCAGAGCAAGUGUUUUUGGGCACCUUAAAACACUUAAUCCAGUCGAACUUAAAAAGUCUUUCCUUUUUUCUAUUGCAGGACCCAGAGAAC